AUUGAACGCUGGCGGCAUGCCUUACACAUGCAAGUCGAACGGCAGCGGGGGUAGCUUGCUACCUGCCGGCGAGUGGCGAACGGGUGAGUAAUACAUCGGAACGUGCCCUGUAGUGGGGGAUAACUAGUCGAAAGACUGGCUAAUACCGCAUACGACCUGAGGGUGAAAGUGGGGGACCGCAAGGCCUCAUGCUAUAGGAGCGGCCGAUGUCUGAUUAGCUAGUUGGUGGGGUAAAGGCCUACCAAGGCGACGAUCAGUAGCUGGUCUGAGAGGACGAUCAGCCACACUGGGACUGAGACACGGCCCAGACUCCUACGGGAGGCAGCAGUGGGGAAUUUUGGACAAUGGGGGCAACCCUGAUCCAGCAAUGCCGCGUGUGUGAAGAAGGCCUUCGGGUUGUAAAGCACUUUUGUCCGGAAAGAAAUCGCUUCGGUUAAUACCUGGAGUGGAUGACGGUACCGGAAGAAUAAGGACCGGCUAACUACGUGCCAGCAGCCGCGGUAAUACGUAGGGUCCAAGCGUUAAUCGGAAUUACUGGGCGUAAAGCGUGCGCAGGCGGUUGUGCAAGACCGAUGUGAAAUCCCCGGGCUUAACCUGGGAAUUGCAUUGGUGACUGCACGGCUAGAGUGUGUCAGAGGGAGGUAGAAUUCCACGUGUAGCAGUGAAAUGCGUAGAGAUGUGGAGGAAUACCGAUGGCGAAGGCAGCCUCCUGGGAUAACACUGACGCUCAUGCACGAAAGCGUGGGGAGCAAACAGG
rnacentral:rRNA from 1 species